rnacentral:tRNA from 1 species
UGGAAGGUAGUAUAGAGGUAGUACAGAGAGUUUUGGGAUCUCAGGUGUAGGUUCAAUUCCUAUUCUUCUAA